ACAUAAAGAUGUCUGUUACAAUAUUUUUAUGAAUUUUUUUAUAUCAACUUGCAAGGAUUUCUUUGCAAGAAUUUACUCAAUUUAUACAUUACAUUAUAUGAAGUUUACAAUUUGAUCAUUGUGUUGAGUGUGGCUAAUAGAAAUAUUCCCCUAGGAUUGUCUCUGUAGUUAGUGGUAACCAGGGACGCAUCUUCGUCCCUUGAUGAACUUCAUGCAUAUAUAUUUACAUCUACCAAGCAUAAUUUCCUCUAUUUCUUACGGAAACUUAUAGUUAAUUCAUAGCGCUAAAGAAACUGCCAGACUGAAAUCUACACGCCCUUAUUUAUCGAUUGGUCGAAAUCUACAGCGGCUGAAAGUGACAGGACUGAAAUUGACACGCCCUGUUUAUCGAUUGGUCUGAACCUACAGCGACCUUAGUAAAAUCCCGGACUGCACGAAAUAAUCAUGACGAUGCCAGACUCAAAGUCUCACAGGAGACGAUUUGGCUGUUUCUUUUAGCUUACGUACUUUUGUACAUUAACAGUAAUUUAGUGAAUUUUACUAGCUUUUCAUAAUCAGUUUAUUAAAUAGUUAAAGAAAGAUGUUAAUAUAAAGUAAACGCUAACGCGAGUUAUAUAUUUUCCCUGCAAUGUCGCUACCUUCAUAUCCCGAAUGAAUCACCAAAGAAAGCAUUCUAUUUUUUAAAUCAACAUGAUCGAUCUGUCUUUACGUCUCUGUUUUAUGAUAUCUUUUUUUUUAUCAUUUUAUCUUGCAAAUGUUUUUUUGGCGAGAUUUUUCUACAUGUGAAAUUAAAUAUUUAUAUUAAUCAAAUAAAAAUCAA
rnacentral:misc_RNA from 1 species